CCCUGUCUUCAUAGGUUAUCAGCGUCAGCUGCUCUACAAACAUGAUGAUGGCUCCUACAGUGCCUUUGGGAAGUCUGACACCCAGGGCAACACAUGGCUGACAGCUUUUGUGGCCAGGUCCUUUGGGCAGGCCAGCUCUUACAUUUACAUCA